rnacentral:rRNA from 1 species
CCUAGGGGAGGCAGCAGUGAGGAAUAUUGGUCAAUGGGCGGAAGCCUGAACCAGCCAAGUAGCGUGCAGGAUGACGGCCCUAUGGGUUGUAAACUGCUUUUAUACAGGAAUAAAGUUAGCCACGUGUGGUUAUUUGUAGGUACUGUAUGAAUAAGGACCGGCUAAUUUCGUGCCAGCAGCCGCGGUAAU